rnacentral:rRNA from 1 species
GGGGGAACUGAAACAUCUAAGUACCCCGAGGAAAAGAAAUCAACCGAGAUUCCCCCAGUAGCGGCGAGCGAACGGGGAAGAGCCCAGAGCCUGAAUCAGUGUGUGUGUUAGUGGAAGCGUCUGGAAAGGCGCGCGAUACAGGGUGACAGCCCCGUACACAAAAACGCACAUGCUGUGAGCUCGAUGAGUAGGGCGGGACACGUGGUAUCCUGUCUGAAUAUGGGGGGACCAUCCUCCAAGGCUAAAUACUCCUGACUGACCGAUAGUGAACCAGUACCGUGAGGGAAAGGCGAAAAGAACCCCGGCGAGGGGAGUGAAAAAGAACCUGAAACCGUGUACGUACAAGCAGUGGGAGCACAGAGCAAUCUGUGUGACUGCGUACCUUUUGUAUAAUGGGUCAGCGACUUAUAUUCUGUAGCAAGGUUAACCGAAUAGGGGAGCCGAAGGGAAACCGAGUCUUAACUGGGCGUUAAGUUGCAGGGUAUAGACCCGAAACCCGGUGAUCUAGCCAUGGGCAGGUUGAAGGUUGGGUAACACUAACUGGAGGACCGAACCGACUAAUGUUGAAAAAUUAGCGGAUGACUUGUGGCUGGGGGUGAAAGGCCAAUCAAACCGGGAGAUAGCUGGUUCUCCCCGAAAGCUAUUUAGGUAGCGCCUCGUGAAUUCAUCUCCGGGGGUAGAGCACUGUUUCGGCAAGGGGGUCAUCCCGACUUACCAACCCGAUGCAAACUGCGAAUACCGGAGAAUGUUAUCACGGGAGACACACGGCGGGUGCUAACGUCCGUCGUGAAGAGGGAAACAACCCAGACCGCCAGCUAAGGUCCCAAAGUCAUGGUUAAGUGGGAAACGAUGUGGGAAGGCCCAGACAGCCAGGAUGUUGGCUUAGAAGCAGCCAUCAUUUAAAGAAAGCGUAAUAGCUCACUGGUCGAGUCGGCCUGCGCGGAAGAUGUAACGGGGCUAAACCAUGCAC